GGGUAAAUAACAAAAUCUACUGACAGCUACUGAUGAACUGGUGGAGGUUGGCAGCUGUGGGAUUACACCCCGUUUCGAUUUGUCACCGUCGACAGACAAAAUCGACCGUAGCAGCUCUUACCACCGGGAACAUCGCCCUUCUGAUGAUUCUUGUAAUAUACCUGAGGCCCAUAAACGGACUGACUUCCGACGAAAAAUACAACCGAGAGAAUUCGCAAAUAUCGAGAGCAUAUGCCCGUGCUCGUGAAGUCAGAGGGAUUCGGCCUGGAAAUCUUCAGACUGCCCGGGACUUCGGCAAAAGGAAUCAGCGGUUCCAGGAGAUAAACCCGCAGCCUGGUCGCGAACCAAAGAGAUAUCCUAGCCAAUGGUUUCUGGAACGAUUGCGAAGGGAUCCCGAAGAAACGAGAGAAUAUGAGCGAGUUCUACUGAAGGCCGGCCACCACAGUGAUUUGACGACCAAAAUCAUGCUCGAGUUCAUAAAAAUUCUUUGAU